rnacentral:rRNA from 1 species
AACGAACGUUGGCGGCACGCUUAACACAUGCAAGUCGAACGAGAAAACCCGAGCUUGCUCGGGUGGACAGUGGCAGACGGCUUAGUAACGCGUGGGUAUCUACCUAGAGGUUUGGAACAACUAUUGGAAACGAUAGCUAAUACCAAAUAUUCCCUUCGGGGGAAAGAUUUAUCGCCUUUAGAUGAGCCCGCGUCGGAUUAGCUUGUUGGUAGGGUAAAGGCCUACCAAGGCUACGAUCCGUAGCUGGUCUGAGAGGAUGAUCAGCAAGAUUGGGACUGAGACACGGCCCAGACUCCUACGGGAGGCAGCAGUGGGGAAUAUUGCGCAAUGGGGGAAACCCUGACGCAGCGAUGCCGCGUGAGUGAAGAAGGCCCUAGGGUUGUAAAACUCUUUCACCGGUGAAGAUAAUGACGGUAGCCGGAGAAGAAGCCCCGGCUAACUCCGUG